CUCCAGGGCUCAAGUCGUCCUUCUGCCUCAGCCUCCAGAGUAGCUGGGACAUGCACCACCACACUGAGAUGUCAGCAGCACCUCCCUUGCCCCCAGGAGUGAACCAAAAAUGCCUGCAGACAUUGCCAGAUACCUCCUAGGAGGACAAAAUUGUCCUCUCUUCCAGCUGAGAACUAUUACUCUAAAAUUACCCAGAUCUGCUUUGAAUCCCCGCUCGACCCCAUCACAACCUGGGUCAUCUUGGAAAACAGACUGAACCUUCCUAUGCCCCCCCAAAUUCCUCAACUGUAACAUGGAGCUCUUACUGAAGAAAUGCUAUGAAAAUUAAAUGAAAUGAUGUACGUACAGGAUUUACACGCACAGAA